UACGGGGGGAGCAAGCGUUGUUCGGAUUUACUGGGCGUAAAGGGCGCGUAGGCGGCCACUGCAAGUCAGUUGUGAAAUCUCCGGGCUUAACCCGGAAAGGUCAGCUGAUACUGCAGGGCUAGAGUGCAGAAGGGGCAACUGGAAUUCUCGGUGUAGCGGUGAAAUGCGUAGAUAUCAGGAGGAACACCGAUGGCGAAGGCAGGUCUCUGGGCAUUAACUGACGCUGAGGAGCGAAAGCAUGGGGAGCGAACAGG
rnacentral:rRNA from 1 species